ACUCCUACGGGAGGCAGCAGUGGGGAAUUUUGGACAAUGGGGGAAACCCUGAUCCAGCCAUCCCGCGUGUAUGAUGAAGGCCUUCGGGUUGUAAAGUACUUUUGGCAGAGAAGAAAAGGUAUCUCCUAAUACGAGAUACUGCUGACGGUAUCUGCAGAAUAAGCACCGGCUAACUACGUGCCAGCAGCCGCGGUAAUACGUAGGGUGCAAGCGUUAAUCGGAAUUACUGGGCGUAAAGCGUGUGUAGGCGGUUCGGAAAGAAAGAUGUGAAAUCCCAGGGCUCAACCUUGGAACUGCAUUUUUAACUGCCGAGCUAGAGUAUGUCAGAGGGGGGUAGAAUUCCACGUGUAGCAGUGAAAUGCGUAGAUAUGUGGAGGAAUACCGAUGGCGAAGGCAGCCCCCUGGGAUAAUACUGACGCUCAGACACGAAAGCGUGGGGAGCAAACAGGAUUAGAUACCCUGGUAGUCCACGCCCUAAACGAUGUCAACUAGCUGUUGGGGCCGUUAGGCCUUAGUAGCGCAGCUAACGCGUGAAGUUGACCGCCUGGGGAGUACGGUCGCAAGAUUAAAACUCAAAUGAAUUGACGG
rnacentral:rRNA from 1 species